rnacentral:rRNA from 2 species
AAGUGCGAUCAUACCAGCACUAAUGCACCGGAUCCCAUCAGAACUCCGUAGUGAAGCGUGCUUGGGAGAGAGUAGUACUAGGAUGGGUGACCUCCUGGGAAGUCCUCGUGUUGCACCUC